rnacentral:rRNA from 1 species
GAUGAACGCUGGCGGCGUGCCUAAUACAUGCAAGUCGAGCGAACAGACGAGGAGCUUGCUCCUCUGACGUUAGCGGCGGACGGGUGAGUAACACGUGGAUAACCUACCUAUAAGACUGGGAUAACUUCGGGAAACCGGAGCUAAUACCGGAUAAUAUAUUGAACCGCAUGGUUCAAUAGUGAAAGACGGUUUUGCUGUCACUUAUAGAUGGAUCCGCGCCGCAUUAGCUAGUUGGUAAGGUAACGGCUUACCAAGGCAACGAUGCGUAGCCGACCUGAGAGGGUGAUCGGCCACACUGGAACUGAGACACGGUCCAGACUCCUACGGGAGGCAGCAGUAGGGAAUCUUCCGUAAGGGGCGAAAGCCUGACGGAGCAACGCCGCGUGAGUGAUGAAGGUCUUCGGAUCGUAAAACUCUGUUAUUAGGGAAGAACAAAUGUGUAAGUAACUAUGCACGUCUUGACGGUACCUAAUCAGAAAGCCACGGCUAACUACGU